rnacentral:rRNA from 1 species
GACGAACGCUGGCGGCGUGCUUAACACAUGCAAGUCGAGCGGUAAGGCCCUUUCGGGGGUACACGAGCGGCGAACGGGUGAGUAACACGUGGGUGACCUGCCCUCAGCUCUGGGAUAAGCCUGGGAAACCGGGUCUAAUACUGGAUAUGACUCCAUGACGCAUGUUGUGGGGUGGAAAGCCUUGUGCGGCUGAGGAUGGGCCCGCGGCCUAUCAGCUUGUUGGNGGGGUGANGGCCUACCAAGGCGACGACGGGUAGCCGGCCUGAGAGGGCGACCGGCCACACUGGGACUGAGACACGGCCCAGACUCCUACGGGAGGCAGCAGUGGGGAAUCUUGCGCAAUGGGCAAAGCCUGACGCAGCGACGCCGCGUGAGGGAU